AUUUUGCUUAACCAUUUUCCAAGGAACAUUAUUACUAUAAGCAAGAUGUAAGCAUGCCUAAAGAAAUAAGAAUAAUAGCAAAGAAUUUAUUCGUGGGCAUUAAAGGUCGGAUUGGCGUGUUUUAAGACCAAAUUGAGUGUUCUGGUCGCAGUUGGCGGAAGGCAGACCAAGUAAUGUUGGGCUAGAGGCAGCUGGCCAACGCAAGUACACCAUAGGGACAUCAGCGACACUACAAGCCUCAGCCAAGCCUAAUAAUCACUUGUCUCGCGCCAUCGUUCGAGGAUUACUACUGCUGUAAGUGCUACAAAGCGUUUGGAAGCAGUGCGUGAUAACCAACGUUUCAAAUCGGCAUUUUAAGAUCAAGUGCUCGAGUCAGUCCCUAAGAUAGCCUAAAGGUUUCAUUGAAAUUGUUAGCUGUAUUGGCUGCACUUCCGAACACUUCGAACUCU